rnacentral:lncRNA from 1 species
UGCCUGGGGGGUGUUCAGGGCCGCCGGGCUGGCGCUGGCCGUGGGGGGCACCCAGGAGCCCCUGGGACCACGUGAGUGACGUGGGGACAUGGGGACGUGGGGACACGGAGGGACAUGGAGGGACAUGGACAUGAGGAGACAUGGGGGACAUGGAGGGAUGUGGGGAGACAUGAAGGGAAAUGGAGGGACAUGAGGGACAUGGACAUGGAGGACAUGGGACAUGAGGGACAUGGGGGACAUGGAGGACAUGGGGGGAUGUGAGGGGACAUGGAGGGACAUGGGUGGGACAUGGGGUACACAAGGGCACAUGGGGCUGGGCCUGGGUGUCCCAACUCCCCUGAGGACAUGUGGGUGGGACCAGGGGACAUGUGGGGACAGCGCGGGGCUAGGGGCUGGURUCCACGGGUCCCUGUGUCCCCACGUCCCCAUGUGCCCAGCGCCCCCAUGUCCCUCCGACCCCGCGCGGCGGCGGCGCUCGCUGGAGCUGCAGAAGCUCUUGGAGGAGGAGGGUGAGUGUCACCGUGUCAACACAUCCCCGUGUCACCACGUCCCCAUGUCACUGUGCCACUGUGCCCCUAUGUCACUGUGUCCCAGUACCACCACAGCCCCAUGUCACCGCACCCCCAUGUCACCACAUCACUGCACCCCCAAGCCACUGCAUCCCCAUGUCACCAUGUCCCCAUGCCACCACAUCGCCAUGUCACCGAAUCCCCAAGCCACCAUGUCCCUGUGCCACCAUGUCCCCAUGUCACUGCAUCGCUGUGCCACUGCAUCACUGUGCCACCACGUCACGGUGCCAUUAUGUCACCCUGUCAUCCUGCUUCUGCACCCCCAUGUCACCACCUGCCCAUGCCACCCCAUCCCCAGGCCACCGUGUCACUGCAACCCUGUGUCCCUGCAUGUCCCCACAUGUCCCCCCGACGCACAGUGACAGUGACAUUGCCGUGUCACAGCAGUGGGGCGGUGACAUGUCCCCACAUGUCCUUGUGGUGACAGCCCCAUGCUGUGUCCCCAUGCUGUGUCACCACAGUGGCAGUGCCAUUGCCAUGUCCCUGUGUGUCUCCAUGCCAUGUCCCUGCGGUGACAGGCCCCCUGCCAUGUCCCCGUGUGUCCCUGCCUGUCCUUGUGUGUCCCUGUGCUGUGUCUCCACGUGUCCCUGCAUGUCCCCAUCGUGUGUCCCUGUGUGUCCCUGUGCCAUGUCCCUGAAUGUCCCCAUGUGUCCCUGCAUGUCCCCAUACUGUGUCCCCAUGUGUCCCCAUGCCAUGUCCCUGUGUGUCCUCAUGUGUUCCUGUGCCAUGUCCCCAUGUGUCCCUGCAUAUCCCCAUACCGCAUC